rnacentral:SRP_RNA from 1 species
GCUGGGCAUGGUGGUGCGUGCCUGUAGUCCCAGCUACUCAGGAGGCUGAGACAGGAGAAUCGCUUGAACCCAGGAGAUGAAGGUUGCAGUGAGCCGAGAUCACGCCACUGCACUCCAGCCUGGGCAACAGAGCAAGACUCUGUCUCAA